rnacentral:rRNA from 1 species
UACAGAGGUGGCAAGCGUUGUUCGGAAUUACUGGGCGUAAAGGGCGCGUAGGUCGGCUUUUCAAGCGUGUCGGUGAAAGCUCGGGGCUUAACUCCGAGUCUGCCGUGCGAACUGGGAGGCUUUGAGUCUGGUAGAGGUCGAUGGAAUUCCGGGUGUAGCGGUGGAAUGCGUAGAGAUCCGGAAGAACACCGGUGGCGAAGGCGGUCGACUGGGC